CAGUCGCCGCGGUAAUACGAAGGGGGCUAGCGUUGUUCGGAAUUACUGGGCGUAAAGCGCACGUAGGCGGAUAUUUAAGUCAGGGGUGAAAUCCCAGAGCUCAACUCUGGAACUGCCUUUGAUACUGGGUAUCUUGAGUAUGGAAGAGGUGAGUGGAAUUCCGAGUGUAGCGGUGAAAUUCGUAGAUAUUCGGAGGAACACCAGUGGCGAAGGCGGCUCACUGGACCAUUACUGACGCUGAGGUGCGAAAGCGUGGGGAGCAAACAGGAUUAGAUACCCGUGUAGUCCCUGUCUCUUAUAC
rnacentral:rRNA from 1 species